UCUCGGCAACGGAUAUCUCGGCUCUCGCAUCGAUGAAGAACGUAGCGAAAUGCGAUACCUGGUGUGAAUUGCAGAAUCCCGCGAACCAUCGAGUCUUUGAACGCAAGUUGCGCCCGAGGCCAUUCGGUNGAGGGCACGCCUGCCUGGGCGUCACGCCAAACACGCUC
rnacentral:rRNA from 1 species